GUCAGCUUUGCCGGGAGCUGGUCGGCAAGCAUUUGUAGCAAGCCAGCUGGAGAGGGCUGGGGUGCCUGCCUGUCUCAGAAUGGCCUCCACGCAGGGCUCUCCCUGACUCCACUCUCCUUUCCAAGUCACCUCACACCACAGUGAAAGCAGCAGAGGACUCAGUGGCCCAAAUGCAGGGGAGUCCAUUCCUCUGAUUCCUCUACCAAUGACACCCACUUCCUGCAGGCAUCAGGGCUGAGCCAGGCAUGGGCCAUGCCCUGCCCACUCCAGUGAGAUGGGUCAUUCACGCUGGGAAACCCACGUUACAUGGGACAUCAAGCCGGCUAACCUGCAUUCCCCAAGAUUCAUAUGCUGAGUCUUAACCCCCAGCAGCACAGAACGUGACUGUAUUUGCGGUAGCGCCUUUAAGGAGCUAAUGGAGGUGAAAUGGGGUCACUGGGGUGGCUCCUAAUGUAGUGGGACUGAUGUCCUCUUAAGGAGAGGAAAUUUGGACAGUGACACACACAGAGGCACAACCUUGGGAGGUCACAGGGUGGAGAUGGCAUCCACAAGCCAAGGAGAGAAGCCUCAGGAGAAACCAGCCCUGCAGACACCGUGGACUUGGACUUCCAGCUGCCAGAAUGGGUCCUGACUGCCAGGACAAAAGCCAAAAGCCAUGCUGGAAGCUGUGGGAGGUACAAAGAGAAACACAACCAGCUGGAAAGCACUUCCAGGCCAGCGGUGAAAGGGCGAUCAUAUGAGCCAGGCCUGGCCAUCUAGAACAUUCCAUUUCAUUGGACUGGUUCGAAGGAAAAACAAGAUGUCCAUGAGGCCGGAGAGAUGCAGUCCCAAAGCUUCUGGGGAACUCCACGAAUAAAGUCGACCUGGAGCUGGCAGAGACCACCACGUGGAGAAGGCAGAGCUGGAAGGUGGGGCUGGGCCCAUCUUGAGCACACAGUUAGCACCCUAGGAUCUAACUAUGUCUCAGGAUGUCCUAGAAAUUAAAUUAUAAGAGCCAAGAAA
rnacentral:lncRNA from 10 species